rnacentral:rRNA from 1 species
GUCUACAGCCAUACCAGCCUGAACGCGCCCGAUCUCGUCUGAUCUCGGAAGCUGGAUAGCUCCAGCUAGCACAAAGAGAAAAAGAUGAUUGCUUGGAGAAAGGCAGCAGCAAUGCAGGCU